rnacentral:rRNA from 1 species
GGUUAAGCGACUAAGCGUACACGGUGGAUGCCCUGGCAGUCAGAGGCGAUGAAGGACGUGCUAAUCUGCGAUAAGCGUCGGUGAGGUGAUAUGAACCGUUAUAACCGGCGAUUUCCGAAUGGGGAAACCCAGUGUGUUUCGACACACUAUCAUUAACUGAAUCCAUAGGUUAAUGAGGCGAACCGGGGGAACUGAAACAUCUAAGUACCCCGAGGAAAAGAAAUCAACCGAGAUUCCCCCAGUAGCGGCGAGCGAACGGGGAGGAGCCCAGAGCCUGAAUCAGUGUGUGUGUUAGUGGAAGCGUCUGGAAAGGCGUGCGAUACAGGGUGACAGCCCCGUACACAAAAAUGCACAUAUUGUGAGCUCGAUGAGUAGGGCGGGACACGUGGUAUCCUGUCUGAAUAUGGGGGGACCAUCCUCCAAGGCUAAAUACUCCUGACUGACCGAUAGUGAACCAGUACCGUGAGGGAAAGGCGAAAAGAACCCCGGCGAGGGGAGUGAAAAAGAACCUGAAACCGUGUACGUACAAGCAGUGGGAGCCUCUUUAUGGGGUGACUGCGUACCUUUUGUAUAAUGGGUCAGCGACUUAUAUUCUGUAGCAAGGUUAACCGAAUAGGGGAGCCGAAGGGAAACCGAGUCUUAACUGGGCGUUAAGUUGCAGGGUAUAGACCCGAAACCCGGUGAUCUAGCCAUGGGCAGGUUGAAGGUUGGGUAACACUAACUGGAGGACCGAACCGACUAAUGUUGAAAAAUUAGCGGAUGACUUGUGGCUGGGGGUGAAAGGCCAAUCAAACCGGGAGAUAGCUGGUUCUCCCCGAAAGCUAUUUAGGUAGCGCCUCGUGAAUUCAUCUCCGGGGGUAGAGCACUGUUUCGGCAAGGGGGUCAUCCCGACUUACCAACCCGAUGCAAACUGCGAAUACCGGAGAAUGUUAUCACGGGAGACACACGGCGGGUGCUAACGUCCGUCGUGAAGAGGGAAACAACCCAGACCGCCAGCUAAGGUCCCAAAGUCAUGGUUAAGUGGGAAACGAUGUGGGAAGGCCCAGACAGCCAGGAUGUUGGCUUAGAAGCAGCCAUCAUUUAAAGAAAGCGUAAUAGCUCACUGGUCGAGUCGGCCUGCGCGGAAGAUGUAACGGGGCUAAACCAUGCACCGAAGCUGCGGCAGCGACACUAUGUGUUGUUGGGUAGGGGAGCGUUCUGUAAGCCUGUGAAGGUGGCCUGUGAGGGUUGCUGGAGGUAUCAGAAGUGCGAAUGCUGACAUAAGUAACGAUAAAGCGGGUGAAAAGCCCGCUCGCCGGAAGACCAAGGGUUCCUGUCCAACGUUAAUCGGGGCAGGGUGAGUCGACCCCUAAGGCGAGGCCGAAAGGCGUAGUCGAUGGGAAACAGGUUAAUAUUCCUGUACUUGGUGUUACUGCGAAGGGGGGACGGAGAAGGCUAUGUUGGCCGGGCGACGGUUGUCCCGGUUUAAGCGUGUAGGCUGGUUUUCCAGGCAAAUCCGGAAAACCAAGGCUGAGGCGUGAUGACGAGGCACUACGGUGCUGAAGCGACAAAUGCCCUGCUUCCAGGAAAAGCCUCUAAGCAUCAGGUAACAUCAAAUCGUACCCCAAACCGACACAGGUGGUCAGGUAGAGAAUACCAAGGCGCUUGAGAGAACUCGGGUGAAGGAACUAGGCAAAAUGGUGCCGUAACUUCGGGAGAAGGCACGCUGAUAUGUAGGUGAAGCGACUUGCUCGUGGAGCUGAAAUCAGUCGAAGAUACCAGCUGGCUGCAACUGUUUAUUAAAAACACAGCACUGUGCAAACACGAAAGUGGAUGUAUACGGUGUGACGCCUGCCCGGUGCCGGAAGGUUAAUUGAUGGGGUUAGCGGUAACGCGAAGCUCUUGAUCGAAGCCCCGGUAAACGGCGGCCGUAACUAUAACGGUCCUAAGGUAGCGAAAUUCCUUGUCGGGUAAGUUCCGACCUGCACGAAUGGCGUAAUGAUGGCCAGGCUGUCUCCACCCGAGACUCAGUGAAAUUGAACUCGCUGUGAAGAUGCAGUGUACCCGCGGCAAGACGGAAAGACCCCGUGAACCUUUACUAUAGCUUGACACUGAACAUUGAGCCUUGAUGUGUAGGAUAGGUGGGAGGCUUUGAAGUGUGGACGCCAGUCUGCAUGGAGCCGACCUUGAAAUACCACCCUUUAAUGUUUGAUGUUCUAACGUUGGCCCGUAAUCCGGGUUGCGGACAGUGUCUGGUGGGUAGUUUGACUGGGGCGGUCUCCUCCUAAAGAGUAACGGAGGAGCACGAAGGUUGGCUAAUCCUGGUCGGACAUCAGGAGGUUAGUGCAAUGGCAUAAGCCAGCUUGACUGCGAGCGUGACGGCGCGAGCAGGUGCGAAAGCAGGUUAUAGUGAUCCGGUGGUUCUGAAUGGAAGGGCCAUCGCUCAACGGAUAAAAGGUACUCCGGGGAUAACAGGCUGAUACCGCCCAAGAGUUCAUAUCGACGGCGGUGUUUGGCACCUCGAUGUCGGCUCAUCACAUCCUGGGGCUGAAGUAGGUCCCAAGGGUAUGGCUGUUCGCCAUUUAAAGUGGUACGCGAGCUGGGUUUAGAACGUCGUGAGACAGUUCGGUCCCUAUCUGCCGUGGGCGCUGGAGAACUGAGGGGGGCUGCUCCUAGUACGAGAGGACCGGAGUGGACGCAUCACUGGUGUUCGGGUUGUCAUGCCAAUGGCACUGCCCGGUAGCUAAAUGCGGAAGAGAUAAGUGCUGAAAGCAUCUAAGCACGAAACUUGCCCCGAGAUGAGUUCUCCCUGAGACUUAGAGUCUCCUGAAGGAACGUUGAAGACGACGACGUUGAUAGGCCGGGUGUGUAAGCGCAGCGAUGCGUUGAGCUAACCGGUACUAAUGAACCGUGAGGCUUAACCUU